rnacentral:rRNA from 1 species
UACGGGGGAGGCAAGCGUUAUCCGGACUCAUUGGGCGUAAAGCGUCCGUAGGUGGUUAACCAAGUCUUUUGUCAAAGCGCGGGGCUUAACUUCGUAACGGCAGGGGAAACUGGUGAACUAGAGUGCGGUAGGGGUAGAGGGAAUUCCCAGUGUAGCGGUGAAAUGCGUAGAUAUUGGGAAGAACACCGGUGGCGAAAGCGCUCUACUGGGCCUGCACUGACACUGAGGGACGAAAGCGAGGGGAGCGAAAGGG